rnacentral:tRNA from 1 species
GGCUCCAGAGUGUAGUGGUUAGCACAUCUGCUUUGCAUGCAGAAGGUCCUGGGUUUGCGCCCAGGUGGAACCA